AUUGAACGCUGGCGGCAUGCCUUACACAUGCAAGUCGAACGGUAACAGGUUAAGCUGACGAGUGGCGAACGGGUGAGUAAUGUAUCGGAACGUGCCCAGUCGUGGGGGAUAACUGCUCGAAAGAGCAGCUAAUACCGCAUACGACCGAGGGUGGAAGCGGGGGAUUGGAAGACCCCGCGCCAUUUGAACCGCCGAUAUCAGAUUAGGUAGUUGGUGAGGUAAAGGCUCACCAAGCCGACGAUCUGUAGCUGGUCUGAGAGGACGACCAGCCACACUGGGACUGAGACACGGCCCAGACUCCUACGGGAGGCAGCAGUGGGGAAUUUUGGACAAUGGGCGCAAGCCUGAUCCAGCCAUGCCGCGUGCGGGAAGAAGGCCUUCGGGUUGUAAACCGCUUUUGUCAGGGAAGAAAAGGUUCUGGCUAAUACCUGGGACUCAUGACGGUACCUGAAGAAUAAGCACCGGCUAACUACGUG
rnacentral:rRNA from 1 species